GCAAGUCGAACGAGAAGCUAAAUUUAUUUAGUGGAAAGUGGCGAACGAGCGAGUAACACGUAAGCAUUUGCCCCGUACUCAGGGAUAACCUGGCGAAAGUCAGGCUAAUACCGGAUAGUCUCGAAAGAGUAAAGAUUUAUCGGUACGGGAGAAGCUUGCGGGCUAUCAGUUAGUUGGUGGGGUAAAGGCCUACCAAGACUAUGACGGCUACCUGGUGUGAGAGCACGACC
rnacentral:rRNA from 1 species